GGCCUCUGGGCCUCCCACUGCACUGUGUCAUCUGCCAUUUGGUGUUUUCUUGGAGAAGAAGCUCUGUCAUCUUCUUACAUGAGCAAAGUAAACAUCUAUGUCUCUCCCACAUUGUUGGUCAUGUUUUCUGUUACUUGCAGCUGAAUGCAUUCCUGUGCCAUCAAUCAUGUCCACUUUAGAGAUAAACAGGGCAUCGAAAAAGGGGAGGUCUUCCUUUGGAGCCAGCUUCUUGUUUCUUGGAACUGGAGAUUCAGGUGGAGGAGGAGAAAAGUCCCUCUGCCUGGGGGUUGAGCUGGGGAUGAGGAGUGGAGUUUCCGGCAGAGAAGUCUUGGGGUAAGGCCAAUACUCGCUCUUCCAUGACAGAGCCUGAGGAUCUUCCCUGGCCCCAGGUCCCAGGCCUUGGCUGCAUGAGGAGUCACAAGAUGCCUCUCCUGAACCAGGGAGUUCUCCCUAACACUGAUGGGCACUGGUGGGCAGGGAAGAAGACAGCAGUAGCCAUGGGUGGUGACUCAGAUCACAGACCUGGCUCCAGUCCCUGCUCUGCCACGAACUGCCUGUGUGUCCCAGUGCCCCAACCAACUCCCUUAGGGCAAGGACUCUGAGCCCUCAUCCGUGAAUAGGACUCUCUGUGUUCACAGGGAGCCUCCUGCCCCAGGUCCCCUGGCCUCUGAGCUUCUUCUCAGAAACGAUUGGAGGAACUGUUAAAGUCACUCCUGUUUCUGAUGGCAGUGUGAGUUCUCAAUCUACACAGGAUGACGUGAAAGAAAAGAUCAAGAACUACUGCUUGGCAGCCACACUUCUUGAACAAGGAGCUCCAUUUCACCUGCCAUUGCCUCAACCCACUGAAAAUGGGAUUUGGUCCCUACUGAGCUGUCCAAAUUCCUUCCUCCAAGGCGAUCCCUCAAGAGCAAAGGCCUAGCACAUGGCUGAGCACUUGACACCACCAGCAGUGUUUGCUUUGUCAGUUUUCAAACUUUGUCCUUCUCUAGCACUCUCCUCUUGCCCCUCUGGCUGUCCCUGUCUAAAUCUCCUGCACUGGAGCAUCUCCCUGAGCCCAGCUCACAUUGGCAAUAUUCUUUGCUUCAUCCUGGUACACUGUCCCCAGACAACUCAGUCACUUGUGGGGCUUUGGUUGCUGCCUAAAUGCAGAAGAACUUGGUCUACAUGCUAGGUCUUUCUGUGCUCCAGAUCUUUCUGGGCUGCCUGCCUAACUGGAUGCCCAAAACACUUCAAUUUCUCCCCUAACUGAGGCUUUGGUGAGGAGAAAUAUUGACUCCAACUCUAUCCCAGUGCUUUACUGUGGGCAGAGUAUAGACCUAGCCCCUUGAUUUGGGGCUUAGCCGUGUGACUUCCUUUGGCCAGUAAUGAGGGUAGGGGAUGGAAGUAGGAGUGUGCCACAGCUGAACCUCUGGCAUGGCAGUGAGAAGAGCUUCCCCUGGCAAGCUGCUGCCUCCCGUAUCUGGGCCCAGAAUGAGCACACAUGGAGCCAAGCCAAGCUGCCCUCACCAACCCACAGACAUAAAGCAAGAGGCAGGGCAAGCCCAGUGUGGUGGCUCACGCCUGUAAUCCCAGUGCUUUGGAGGACUAAGGUGGAUGGAUUCCUUGACCCCAGGAGUUCAAGAUCAGCGUGGGCAACAUAGUGAGACUUCAUUGCUACAAAAAAUAAAAUAUAUUUGCCAAGCAUGAUGGUGCACACCUGUAGCCCCAGCUCCCUGGGAGACUGGGGUAGGAGGAUUGCUAAAGCCUGGGCUGAGUCAAAGCUGCAGAUCCAUGCAGAGCCAUGAUAGUGCUACCGCACUCUGACCUGAGUGACAGAGCGAGAGCUUGUCUCAAAAAAAA
rnacentral:lncRNA from 1 species